GGCCGGAAUAGCUCAGUUGGUAGAGCAGAGGACUGAAAAUCCUCGUGUCA
rnacentral:tRNA from 3 species